GGUGGCUCAGUGGUAGAGUGCUUGCCUUGCACUCAUGAGGUCUUGAGUUCAAUUCCUCAGCACCA
rnacentral:tRNA from 1 species